CCGAACCCUAACCUCCUCCUGAUUCCUCUCUCUCUCUCCUCUCCCGGGCGUCGAUGCGGCUCGCGUAUCACUGGGCGCGCCUCCCCUCUCGCCGCCGCCGCUCCUCCACCUCUUCCAUGGCGUUCCUCCAACCCGAACCCCUCUAGCCCUCUCCUCAUUCCUCUCCUUCCUUUCGCUCUCUUUUCACCGCCGCUGCCGCACUUAUCGCCACCAUCGCUCCUCUGUCGCCUCCAGCAACGCAUCCGCAACGACGACGUCAAACUGUUCCGGCAUCUACCGAGCCCAGUCUUACGGAGUAACUCCUCAUGAUGCCCACUGAGCGAAUCCGAUCAGCUCCGUCAUCGAUGGCAGCAGAUCUAGGCUCGGGGGCAGCGGAUCCAGUUGGCUCCAUCCUCGAUGGCAGUAGAUCUGGGCUCAGGGGCAGCGGAUCCGGUUGGCCUACACCGGCUGCUCCGCGACGAGGCCUCCCAAGGUACGUGUGUGCCGCUGCUGAAGUGGUUGGACCGGUGGCUGCGUGUUCCGCGCCCUCAUCUCUCUCACGCGCCUCCACGCCCACCCUGUCAUGCGCCCCUACGACAACGCUCCCUAUUUCGGUUGUCUGCUCCAUCGACUGCUCGAUCUCCAUGCUCAUGAGCCGCAAAGAGGCCAAAGCCCCAUUUCGACCUGCCACUCUUCAUUGCCUCCAUGCCAACAUGGACGCCCCCUGGUAGCUAGAGGUUCUUCCCCUGUCUUUCAUCCUGUGUUUCAGAUUUUUUUGGCAGAAAACUUCUUGAUUUUGCGUGUGACUUUGAAUUCAGUUCAGAGUUGUAGAAUUGGAUAAUUCUGACUUCCUGGUGCUAUUCUAGAUUGAGAUAAUCUAUUUGUCGAGUGGCUUUGAAAGUAGGGAAGUCGAUGAUAUUUCAGUGGACACCAGUAGUUCAAGCAUUAAGAUGUCUGAUCUCCAGUCUCAACCAGACAUGUGGAUAGGUUGUGCAGAGCCUCUUGAGAGCCUGUUAGGAGCAGAUAUUAUGGCAAUUGCUUAUGAUAUCACUAACAGAUAAUCUUCAACUAAACUACACAAUAGAUUGGCCAGGGAGAACGGUAUAGCAUAUGGUUGUAUACACUUGAAAAAGGUGUAAGUAUUAAACUUAGCAAUUUGUUAAAAAAAUUCUUACUGCAUAUUGAUGCUGGAUAGUAAGGCAAAUUAAUAUUGUGCUUGAUUUCAGAUGGACGCUUUUCCAGUAUAGGUUAGAUGGGGCCAUGCUUAGUUCCAAUAGAGCUUGUUAAGAAUAGUUUUCGUAGUCUGCCUUUCCAUAGGUGUACAUGGACUUUCCAUUCUUAGGGUCUUUUUUUCCUUUUGUUUUCAGGAAGAUAAAUGAUUCUUUGUUAAUCUAAUUCACCACUGAGCUAAGAUGGCUAUAGAAUGAGGGAAUUUGUUUGGAUAAUCUAUGUCAAAGAGAGGGUUUUUGAGCUUCACCAUUUUGUUAACUUAAACAAUUUAAUUAAUUUGCCAGGCAAAGUGGUGCUUUUCAUUAUCUUUUUUGUGUAACAUUUCUGUUUGUUUAUUUUCUUUACAGGCAAUUACUUCUAUGCAUUGGUUCUUCAUGUAUGAUUUAUCCUACUUCUUAAACUUUAACAGAUUAUAUUUUUUCUCUCACAUCUCACAUAGGUAGUGUUAUUAGCAAGCUUUGAUUGUUAUUAGCAGAGAAGGGAGGGAGACGGUGAAAGCAGGGAGUAUCUUGCAGCCAGCAGCAUGAGUGAGGUGCCGUGCAGGUGCGACAGAUAACAAAUAAUGGUGCUGUGAAGAUCAGUUUCAAUUGUUUAUAAUGCCAUUCAGAAAGUUCCAUCGCCUAUCAAUGUGUUCACCCUCAAUGACUCAGGCAAUUUGAUAGAGCACAUGCAGGCAGGCGAUGCAUUCUUCCUCAGCAUGUGAUCAUCAGUAGUAUAAUUAUGCGGGUUGUUCUUGUAUUUAUCCAUCUCAGGAUUUGAUAUCUGUUGGAGGUAGUACAAUUUUGUGAUUAUUUGAUAAUUCUGUUCCAUUUGUAUUGUAGUCCUGUCAGCAAUUCAUAUGAUAGCACAUUUAGAUAUAUUCAUGGGUAGCAUCAUCAUGUCUUUAUCCAUCUGGUCAAUCAGAUGGUUUGGGUCCGACUACAAAAUAAAUUAUUUAAUUUGUAGCUAGCUACAGAGAAAUAGUUCUAUAUAUGGGCAUUACAUUAAGAAGAAGACCUUCUUACACAUGUCGAAAAAACCCUCGAACCCCUGCUCCACCCAUACACAGCAGCACCGUAGCCCAUGUGAGAAUGAUUACGACCGGGAAUGGGCCUUAAACAUGUACUUUGGCAUAGGAGGGGAUUUUUUUUAACCUCGACAUAAAAUUCACUCCCAUUGGGAGUCACACCUAGGAUGUAAGGAGUGUGGCCGGGUUCCUCUAACAAAUUGGACUAAUUAUGAAUCAUGUCUACCAUGUAUACACUUGAUUUUAUUCUUCGAGACAACAUCAGGGUUGAGUAAAACCCACUCCAUUUUGCUUGAGGAGCUAAAGGGGAUUUGUCACAUGGUGAAUCAGAACCUCAAGCUCAGGAGGCAGUGCAAGCAGGCAAAAAAGCUCUAUGAAUUGGCUAUUCGUCUCGAAUUUGGAUUUCUUGAAGUUGCAACCUACCUGAUCUGCUUGUUGCUAAAGGACGGCAUUGAUGCCUUGGUUUAUUGGAGUUGCACUGGCCCUAGCUGAUCUGCGUAUUGCUAAACGAUGACAUUAAUGCCUGCUGCUCUACAUCACACGUUUCGCAUUGAAAAACUUAUUGUUGUAUUAGUAUAAACUAGAUAUUUUGGUGAAUUAUUUAGCUGUAUGCAUAAUUUGAUUCUGAACACAGUAAGAAACAUGAUUUUAGCUUGAGGCACAUGACACCUGCUUCAUGGCAUCAUGAUAUUGAAUGCAUGUUUAGUUGAUUUAGAACACAAUAAGAAAUAAGUUUUUUUUUCAUUUCAUUUUAAAAUUAGGAUAUGGAGGUUAUGUUGUUGCUUCAUAA